rnacentral:rRNA from 1 species
UACGGAGGAUGCAAGCGUUAUCCGGAAUGAUUGGGCGUAAAGAGUCCGUAGGUGGUUAUUCAAGUCGAUUGUUAAAGCGCGGGGCUUAACCCCGUAGAAGCAGUGGAAACUGAAUAACUAGAGAGAGGUAGGGGUAGAGGGAAUUCCCGGUGUAGCGGUGAAAUGCGUAGAGAUCGGGAAGAACACCGGUGGCGAAAGCGAUCUACUGGGCCUGCACUGACACUGAGGGACGAAAGCUAGGGGAGCGAAAGGG